rnacentral:rRNA from 1 species
CCCUUAGAUGUUCUGGGCCGCACGCGCGCUACACUGACGAAUGCAACGAGCUUAUAACCUUGGCCGAAAGGUCUGGGUAAUCUCCAAAUUUCGUCGUGAUGGGGAUAGAUUAUUGCAAUUAUUAAUCUUCAACGAGGAAUGCCUAGUAAGCGCAAGUCAUCAGCUUGCGUUGAUUACGUCCCUGCCCUUUGUACACACCGCCCGUCGCUCCUACCGAUUGAAUGGUCCGGUGAAUACUUCGGACCGUUUGCAUAGAUGGUUCGCCAUCUUUGCGAAUGGAAAGUCGAGUGAACCUUACUGCUUAGAUGAAGGAGAAGUCGUAACA